CUGAUACCACUUGUUGGAAACUGGAUAGAUCGUUCGUCAUGCGCUACCAACAAAGAUGCACGAAAAAAUAGAGAAAACACCGAACGAACGGUAAAAGAAAUAAAUGUAGAAAGAAAAAAAAUCAAGAUUUACGUGGUUCGACAAUUGCCUACGUCCACAAGGAGAACGAGAGAGAUGUAUUCCACUAUAUGAAGAAAUAGAAGUACAAGCUUACACCAUAUGUCUUCUCCGGAUAAAAACCAAGAACCUUAUGGUGAAUCCCACCUUUUUCUUGUUCCAACUAAAACUCCAAGAAAAUACCGAAAAAAGUUUUUCGUAAAACCGAGAAGAUCAAAUUAGAGAAGUAUAGAAACUCUAACCAAAUUCCUUUAUGCCGUUACUUCGAAGAAUCCGAACCACUCAGGCAAUUGGUUGAGAACCACCGAUCUGCCGCCAACGACAAUUCGUCGUUGCAUGCGGAA
rnacentral:lncRNA from 1 species